rnacentral:rRNA from 1 species
CCUACGGGUGGCAGCAGUGAGGAAUAUUGGUCAAUGGCCGGAAGGCUGAACCAGCCAAGCCGCGUGAAGGACGAAGGUGCCAAGCAUUGUAAACUUCUUUUGUCAAGGGACAAAAUCAGGCACGAGAGCCUGACCGAGGGUACUUGAAGAAAAAGCAUCGGCUAACUCCGUUCCAGCCGCCCCGGUAAGACGGGGGAUGCGAGCGUUAUCCGGAUUUAUUGGGUUUAAGGGGUACGUAGGCGGACUUUUAAGUCAGCGGUAAAAGCCCGGGGUUCAACCCCGGCGAGCCGUUGAAACUGGCUGUCUUGAGAGGGCGAGAGGUAAGCGGAAUGCGCAGUGUAGCGGUGAAAUGCUUAGAUAUUGCGCAGAACUCCGAUUGCGAAGGCAGCAUACCGGCGGCGAUCUGACGCUGAGGCACGAAAGCGUGGGUAUCGAACAGGAUUAGAUACCCUGGUAGUC